rnacentral:lncRNA from 1 species
AGGAAAUCGAGUUCACCAACAAGUGUCUUCAUCCUGCUCUGGAGCAGAAGAAAACCGUGAUUACCUGGCAGCCAUUAGUUUACCUGUAGUGGGAGGAGGGAGCCCAGGGAAGAGGAGGGAUGAGCAGAGGCUGGCACAUGGGGAGCUGUGCCUGCUGACCCCUGGCACGGGACCUAACUGCUGCAGAGCCCCAUCGCUCCACAGCAUCGCUCCUAACUUUUGUCAUGCUGCAAUGAAGCAUCCCUGGAGUUCUGCAAUGGUUCCUAUGUGGCUGGAGUGGCUUUCUUAUUUCAACCUCUUGAGCAUCGAUUGUUGAGUCGCUUCCUCAUCAUUAAAAGCUCGUCAGGGACAAGCUCUGGAGUUCAGAAGCUCUGUGCAGUCACCACGGCCUUCGGAUGCCCCAAGGGCACCAGCAGAGAGGAACGAGUGUGGCGAGAGCGCAGGCAGCUGUGAGCACACUGCAAUGUCAUUGCUGGCUUUGCUGAUCUCAUGUACUCCUCCACCAUAAAAAGCUGCUCGCAGUUACAGUGAUGUUUCUAGAAGGUGAGUAUAUGUAUGUCAGGAGAAAAAAUAACACUUGCAUUGAAGGAUGAUUUAAGAUUAUUCUUCCACACUUCUGUAUAAGAUUGGAUCUAUUGUAACCUUCCUAAACCUUUGUUACCUUUGUAAUUUAAAC